UACGAAGGGGGCUAGCGUUGUUCGGAAUUACUGGGCGUAAAGCGUGCGCAGGCGGUUCGCUGUGUCCGAUGUGAAAGCCCCGGGCUUAACCUGGGAAUGGCAUUGGAAACUGGCGGGCUUGAGUGUGGCAGAGGGGGGUGGAAUUCCGCGUGUAGCAGUGAAAUGCGUAGAGAUCGGGAGGAACAUCAGUUGCGAAGGCGGCUCUCUGGACCAGCACUGACACUGAGGCACGAAAGCGUGGGGAGCAAACAGG
rnacentral:rRNA from 1 species